rnacentral:rRNA from 1 species
GAUGAACGCUGGCGGCGUGCCUAAUACAUGCAAGUCGAGCGAACAGAUGAGGAGCUUGCUCCUCUGACGUUAGCGGCGGACGGGUGAGUAACACGUGGAUAACCUACCUAUAAGACUGGGAUAACUUCGGGAAACCGGAGCUAAUACCGGAUAAUAUAUUGAACCGCAUGGUUCAAUAGUGAAAGACGGUUUUGCUGUCACUUAUAGAUGGAUCCGCGCCGCAUUAGCUAGUUGGUAGGGUAACGGCUUACCAAGGCAACGAUGCGUAGCCGACCUGAGAGGGUGAUCGGCCACACUGGAACUUAGACACGGUCCAGACUCCUACGGGAGGCAGCAGUAGGGAAUCUUCCGCAAUGGGCGAAAGCCUGACGGAGCAACGCCGCGUGAGUGAUGAAGGUCUUCGGAUCGUAAAACUCUGUUAUUAGGGAAGAACAAAUGUGUAAGUAACUAUGCACGUCUUGACGGUACCUAAUCAGAAAGCCACGGCUAACUACGUG